ensembl:lncRNA
CGCGAGGGAGGGCGCGUCUGGGGGCACCGGUGACCCGCGGGUGGGGGUAGAAAGCUUGGGCCGAGCCAGCGACGGGGAGAGUCGGCGAGUCCGCUUCAGAGUCCAGGCUGUGACAGGAGGGCAGGGGCCUGCAGGGAGCCUUAGGUGCGGCGCCGGCCCCCGGGAGCGGCAGGUACCGCGCGGCGCGACCCCGGGACCUCGGGCGCCGCGGGAGGGAGGCAGGGAGGGGCCCCAGCGAGGAGCCCAGCCCACCCGAGCAGGGUCAGGGUCACCCGAGGCGGCACCCGCGGAUCCCGGGCCACCACGCCGGCAGGAAGCCGUCCCAGGACCCAAAGUUUCUCCUCUUUCCAGCCAGUGCAGUCUGAUAUAUUCCAACCUGCCAGAACUCAAAGUUUAUGCCAGCAUCAAAAUUUUCAAGUGAACAGAAUUCUAUUAAAGGUUGAUUGUUGAUGAAGAAGAGGAAGUAACCACAGAGUCAGAGACUUCAAAUGGAAAAAGACUUUAGAGAUGAGCCAACUCUACUUCGCCACUUUGCAGAUGGGCAAACUAAGGUUCAAGGAAGGGAACUGUGUGCCCAGUUACACAGCUGGUUAAUGAAGUGACCAGAAUGCAAGCUCCCUCUCUACCUGCUCAGGAGUACCCAGUACCAUCUGGAGCCCCUAUUUCCUGGAUCUCCUGUAGCCCACCACAAGGACACAUGCAGACACUCAAAUGCUGGCAGAGUGAUAAAAUGGAAGGACUGCCCUUGAAGGUUGAACAGUCCCUGAGCAGCCCUGGGGCAAACCUGGAGCACAUCCUGCAGAAAGGCAGAUAGAUCUCAUCCUUUAAAACAGUCUCCAUACCACACCCAACCUUUCGGUUUCCUCAGCUACAAUCCUUAAAUUUUUCUCAGGAGUUACCAAAGACCCCUUAAGAAGGGAGACCACACUGGGUGCCUUAAUCAGCUAAAAGCCCUUGCAGGGGUUUGUCAAACUUGCCCUGUGGACUGUUUGGCUUCAGAGAUAAGAAGGUGUUGGAGACCACAGCAUGAGUCAGCAUUCCACCUCAAAUACUAAUAUAUAACUUACUGAUGAUGAGAAAGACUCCAGAUGAACAACCAGUACUAUGGAACAGUUUAAUAAGCAAGAGAUAAGGACAGGAGCAAAAUAGACUUUCGUUCCUCUCCAAGCCGCAAAGGGAGAAUCUAUAGCAAAUUCUUUGAAGGGCAAUCCCUAGGGCAGCAGGACAGCUCAGGUGUCUGGUGUUUUCCCCGUAUCAAUCUGAGCCAUCUGAACAGAGCAUCAGCUGGGGACCUGGGUGUACAUUUAGUGGAGGCUGGGACAGGGGAGAUGAGUUCUAAAGUGACCCUCACACAGACACAAGAUUCCUUUCUCAAGAGCAACUCCCACGGGACUAUAGCAGUGUUCAGACCCAGGCUCUGCCCCUGGGAAGAGACUGGCUCCCAUGAUUGUAAACAUGUUGUUCCAUGGAGUUUGUCUCUAAGAAAUAAAAGAAACUAUAACCAUCACUACACUUCUGGCCCAAAUUGAAGAGAAGAUUGUGCUUCUAAGCCACUGCCGGCUUGCCCUUGCUCUUAACUGUUUCAAAACUCUCUCUCCCCAUGGGAUGGAUUUUUCCAGUUGAGAAUUUUUCUCCUCAAAUAUGACCCUCAUUUCAAGAAGGAUAGGUCUAAGGAAAGCCUAUUAGCAAUUUUAUCUAGUUUUCUGGGCAAGUUAUAAAAGAAAACUGGCAUAAAAGAAGGAAAAAUAUAUGAAGAAUAGCAAUAGAACAAUUGCAUGUCGUAGAAUGACCAUGUCAUGCAUAUCUUUAGAUUGUCCUGAGAAAGAGUUAGGGGUUAUGGGUUUAGAGAAAGGUGUGGUGUGUCCAACCUGUGACCCCUGCUUGGACAUGCCUAGUUUCCCAGGCUGCAUUGAGUGAAAAGGAAUUGUCUUAGGCUGCAUAAAAAAUAUAUAUAUAAUAUGGUUAAUGUAUAUCAGUAACAUAACUUACUUUUUAAAAACUGUUUAUUAUAUCACAAUGUGUCCAACCUACAGGCCAAAGAGAAAAAUAGUGAGGGAAGUUCCAUUAGCUUUAGCAUUAUGGGUGCAGAAUGACACAGACACGCUGUACAUUAACCUAAAUGACAUGACAUGACAGGGUCUACUGUAAAUAAAAGAAGAUAUUGCUGCUCUCUGAGUCUGGAGUCUUAUUCUCUCCCUGACUCAAGUAAGAUAUUGAGUCUAUGUCCUUUUGUUUUUGGUUUCUAAUCUUAUUUUUUUAAAUGUCAAAGGCUUUUCAUAUUAUUCCAUGCUUCAAAAUAUAUCCAUAAAUUUCAAAAUUGACAAAAUUACAAGGGUUAUUCAACAAUCCACAAUCAUAGCAAGCAAUUGUAAUAUACCUCCUCCAGUAAACAAGAGAUCAGAGUUCAAUAUUUAUAAAUGUGUAGAUGUUUUUCAACACAAGUAAUAUGCUCAAUCUAGUGGGUUUAUGCAGAAUACAUUAUUUCAACC